UUAUUAUUUAUUGAUAACAUUUCGUCUCCCUAAAUAAACAAAUAAACAAACAAAAAUAAAUAAAACAAAAGAGGAGGUCCCAGGUUCUCUCGUCCUGUAUAUCGCAAAGGUUCAUGGGUAAUCCAUCCACGUGCUUCAUUUUACAGAAGAAGGAGAAAGCGUCGUUGGUAUUUUGUAGUACGCUACGGUUUUUAAGCUAUUUGAUGGCAGCAGUCAAUAUGUAUUUCAAGAAAGAACAAUUCUAUACUAUACCUGGCAAACGGAUACCACAGAAUUUUCAUUUU